rnacentral:lncRNA from 1 species
UGAUAGAAUUAGCAACUUUGCAAAUUAAUUAGAAUGCCGUUUUGUCUGUAUUGCAUCUAGACUUCUGUCCUCUUGAGGGGAUUAUUAGUUUGAUCUUCUAAGCUCUCCACAUGCUUUGGUGAUUAAUUUUAUACCUUUCUGCCAAGUUUUAGUUCAACAUCCUCUUAGAUGCUGUUUGUAGAUGUUCCACAGGAGUAUAAACAUCUGUUGAUUUACUUUAACCCUAGAUAGGAGGCCCUUGCUAGGUACUGACGUCUGGAUUCAGCUAAGCCCAGGUUUUAUGGACCAAAAUGACCCAAUGGAUAUGUUUACAAAUAAAGUAAGGAGGCUAAUUAAGAAGAAGAACUUUCCAGAAUGUUUUAAAGUCAGGACAAUCACAGAUCCUCCAAAGGAGAUAGGUGAUUUUUGUGUGUUCAUAAAAACACACAAAAAUAAAGUUGAUAAAACAAGAUUGCUGCUGAUUAACUUAGAGGUGAAAAUUGCAAGAUGGUGCCUUCAAAAGCUCAGUGAUUAUGAUUACAUGGUAGAAUUGUCACAACAAUUAAUUUAAAAAUUUAGAGCAUUUAUACACAAAUUUAGAUAUCAGAACAAUGAGACUAUGGUAGUAAUGGAU